UACGGAGGGUGCAAGCGUUAAUCGGAUUACUGGGCGUAAAGCGUGCGUAGGUGGUUUGUUAAGUCCGUUGUGAAAGCCCCGAGCUCAACUUGGGAAUUGCAGUGGAUGCUGGCAAGCUGGAGUGCGGUAGAGGAAGGUGGAAUUCCCGGUGUAGCGGUGAAAUGCGUAGAGAUCGGGAGGAACACCAGUGGCGAAGGCGGCCUUCUGGACCAGCACUGACACUCAAGCACGAAAGCGUGGGGAGCAAACAGGG
rnacentral:rRNA from 1 species